rnacentral:rRNA from 1 species
UACGUAGGGGGCAAGCGUUAUCCGGAUUUACUGGGUGUAAAGGGAGCGUAGACGGCGUGGCAAGUCUGAAGUGAAAGGCGGGGGCCCAACCCCCGGACUGCUUUGGAAACUGUCAUGCUUGAGUGCGGGAGGGGCAAGCGGAAUUCCUAGUGUAGCGGUGAAAUGCGUAGAUAUUAGGAGGAACACCGGUGGCGAAGGCGGCUUGCUGGACCGUAACUGACGUUGAGGCUCGAAAGUGCGGGUAUCGAAC